UCACGAAUUGUUUUUAUUUAUAACAAACAGAUCAAUGAACCCCCUCAGUUCGACAUGACUUACUGGGAAGAUAGAGCACAGUAUUCUAUGGAUGAUCUGCCUUCUUUUCCCCCAUUCUUGGACGGCAGCUGGAACAAUUUACGUCAAAUUUACUCAAAGCCAGGACAGUACACAAAAAUACUUUCUUCGCCAUCAUGGUUUAAGGAACUGCAUUUGUCUGUAAUGACUAAAAGUGAUGCUCAAAUUAUGUUCAUAAACAGUGGUCAUGAUUUGUUGGAAAUUACGUUUGAUUCGAAUAACGCCCAUGGAUAUUUGACAGUUCAGUUUUGCCAAGGUGUGUCAGGUGGCAAGCCCGUGUGCGAACUAUUACAAAGCGCCAAGACUUUCAACGAAGACGGAUAUUUGAAAAAGGGCAAAGAAUGGGUGCAUUUUAGAAUUAGAUUAGAAAUUAUUAACAGCCAGACAAUGAAAUCUAUUGAAAUAGCAAACGCGAAAAAUGGAGAGGUUCUACUCAACAGCACAAGGAUGGUUAAAUUUCACGAGAGUCAUGAAAUAACGCUACUUGUAAGGUCUGUAACAUCGACCGGGUCUUGGAGAUUUCAUGA